rnacentral:rRNA from 1 species
CCUACGGGUGGCAGCAGUGAGGAAUAUUGGUCAAUGGGCGCGAGCCUGAACCAGCCAAGUAGCGUGAAGGAUGAAGGCCCUACGGGUUGUAAACUUCUUUUAUAAAGGAAUAAAGUGAGGCACGUGUGCCUUUUUGUAUGUACUUUAUGAAUAAGGAUCGGCUAACUCCGUGCCAGCAGCCGCGGUAAUACGGAGGAUCCGAGCGUUAUCCGGAUUUAUUGGGUUUAAAGGGAGCGUAGUUGGGUUGUUAAGUCAGUGGUGAAAGUUUGCGGCUCAACCGUAGAAUUGCACUUGAUACUGGCAGCCUUGAGUACAGUUGAGGUAGGCGGAAUUCGUGGUGUAGCGGUGAAAUGCUUAGAUCUCACGAAGAACUCCGAUUGCGAAGGCAGCUUACUAGACUGCCACUGACAUUGAUGCUCGAAAGUGUGGGUAUCAAACAGGAUUAGAUACCCUUGUAGUC